rnacentral:tRNA from 2 species
CCCGCUUAGCUCAGAGGUA